GAUGAACGCUAGCGGCAGGCCUAAUACAUGCAAGUCGAACGGUGUCUUCGGACAUAGUGGCGCACGGGUGCGUAACACGUAUGCAACCUACCUUACAUUGGGGGAUAGCCUUUCGAAAGGGAGAUUAAUACCGCAUAAGACAGUAGCUGGGCAUCCAGCAGCUGUUAAAGAUUUAUCGAUGUAAGCUGGGCAUGCGUCCAAUUAGCUAGUUGGUGAGGUAACGGCUCACCAAGGCAAUGAUUGGUAGGGGAACUGAGAGGUCAAUCCCCCACACUGGCACUGAGAUACGGGCCAGACUACUACGGGAGGCAGCAGUAGGGAAUAUUGGGCAGUGGACGCAAGUCUGACCCAGCCAUGCCGCGUGCAGGAUGAAGGCGUUAUGCGUUGUAAACUGCUUUUAUACAGGAAGAAACGACUCUUGCGAGAGGCAUUGACGGUACUGUAUGAAUAAGCUCCGGCUAACUCCGUGCCAGCAGCCGCGGUAACAC
rnacentral:rRNA from 1 species